AUGAUAUGCUUAUUCUUUCCCACAGAUAAUAAAACUUCACCCCACAAUGCUCACAAUGCUGCUAUGGUGCGCUGGUUAAAAGGUGUUCCAGUGGAUAAGAAAACCAUAGAAAUACUUGUUUUUCAUGAGUUCACCUUGGAUAGUCUCCUCUAUCUCGCUUGCAGAGAUGAUCUGCAGUACUGUGGCAUCAAAGGCGGGAUACUGUGUCGUUUGUGGGCUGCCAUCUCCAAGCAAAGGAAGGCUCUUCUCAGUCCAGUCAAAGAGGACAGUGAAGAUACCAUUCUCUAAAAGACAUGAAUGAUUCUCUCCUGACCAGUUUUUAGAUUCUAUGAGCUCAGUGAGUUUGCAGUAAAUAGUUUUUUUGGUCACUAUUAUUUUAUGCCUAUGCCUGACACGCACAAACACACACACACACACACAAAACACCACUGUUCAAAAUGUUUUUGAAAGAAGGCUCCUAUGCUCUUCCAGACUACAUUUAUUUCAGUAAUCAUUACUCCAUACUUCAGUGUCACAUGAUCCUUUAGAAAUCAUUCUAAUAUGCUGCUUUGAUGCUCAAGUGACAUUUAUUAUAAUUAUCAAUGAUGAAAGUUCUUAUAAUUUAUGCUGCUUAAUAUUUUUGUGGAAAAAUUAUUAGAGCUGAGUCGGAGAUGAGCUCAGUGAGUUUGUCAGUAAAUAGUUUUUUGGUCACUAUUAUUUUAUGCCUAUGCCUGACACGCACAAACACACACACACACACACAAAACACCACUGUUCAAAAUGUUUUGAAAGAAGGCUCCUAUGCUCUUCCAGACUACAUUUAUUCAGUAAUCAUUACUCCAUACUUCAGUGUCACAUGAUCCUUUAGAAAUCAUUCUAAUAUGCUGCUUUGAUGCUCAAGUGACAUUUAUUAUAAUUAUCAAUGAUGAAAGUUCUUAUAAUUUAUGCUGCUUAAUAUUUUUGUGGAAAAAUUAUUAGAGAACAGGAUUGAUUUGAGAUAGAAAUAUUUUGUAACAUUAUAAAUGUAUUUACGGUCACUUUAUCAAUUUAAUGUGUUCUUGCUGAAUAUAUUUAUUAAGUACUUUAAAAAAGUAAAUAAGUUUUUUUAGGUUCGUACUAUAUUUUAUUGCCUACUGCCUGACACGCACAACACACACACACACACACAAAACACCACUGUUCAAAAUGUUUUUGAAAGAAGGCUCCUAUGCUCUUCCAGACUACAUUUAUUUCAGUAAUCAUUACUCCAUACUUCAGUGUCACAUGAUCCUUUAGAAAUCAUUCUAAUAUGCUGCUUUGAUGCUCAAGUGACAUUUAUUAUAAUUAUCAAUGAUGAAAGUUCUUAUAAUUUAUGCUGCUUAAUAUUUUUGUGGAAAAAUUAUUAGAGAACAGGAUUGAUUUGAGAUAGAAAUAUUUUGUAACAUUAUAAAUGUAUUUACGGUCACUUUAUCAAUUUAAUGUGUUCUUGCUGAAUAUAUUUAUUAAGUACUUUAAAAAAAAAACUUAACUCCAAACAUUUUAAUGAACAUUCAGUAUCUCAGAUGUAAGCUGUUAGAAAGAUAUUCAAUAUAUUGUUUAUGAAUAUAAAGUUCUAUAAUGUGUGAAAUAUUUAUGCUAAGAUCAUCUGAAAAUCCUGUGUUAUCGUGCAGGGCAUUGAGUUGUGUACUGCACAUAUGUGAGUAGAAAAACACUGUAUUUGUAUAUAUGAAUUGUGCAUUCUUACUAAAUAUUAACUACUUUUAUAGAAGGAAGCAAACUGACAGCAAAACUAGAAAAAAGUAAACUACAUUUAAAACUAAAACUGCAAUUUUGUAAUUUAUUUUAGAAAUAAAGCUUUUAAUUGUAAUGGAAACGGUUACAUUUCUUUCUUGUUCAUUUUAAAUGAUGUUGUUCAAUUGUUAAUUUUCCUAUGCUAUAACAUGCAUUUUUGAAUGCACAAAUAUUCCAAGUAAUCCUUCGAUUCACGUGAGAUAAUAAAAGCUACAAGAAAUUAAUUAGUAAAUGUUGUUUAAAAUAGUUUUAUAUGGCGUAUAGCAGGGGUUGGGCCAACCCCUGGCGUACUAGGUAUGUUGCACCAAAAUUAAUUAGUUAAAAUGUUUAGUUUAAAAUAGGUUUAUAUGGCGUAGUAGCCACGGGUUGGCACCCCUGGCGUAUAGUAUGUUGCACCAGACAAAACAUGUCAGCUUUCCAAAAAUGUGUUUGAUGUCAGCUAUUGUAUUUUUAAG
rnacentral:lncRNA from 1 species